AAGUUCUCGCUUUUGGCUCCACCCCCACUCACACGUGUAGGAAUAGAGAGGCCACAUGGCAUAGGAGCUUGCUGGAGGGCGGAUGUGCUGCUGCUCUUUUGCUUUUGGCCACGGCUCUGUCUGCAGAAAGAUGUUCCACCAUAUUUUACACGAUAUUCCCUGUGGCUGCGGUGCCUGCUUCUGCUCAGAGGCUCCUGGGUACAUAGAUAGGUCUGCUCUUGAACCUCCCGCCUAAUGCAGAAGAGCACGUGUGAAUUAAAUGAGAAUGAGCUCUUGCUUACAGGGUACAGCUUAAAGUGGCUGCAUGUCAUCAAGUCUGCUUCAUCUAGUAUCCCACCAGACUUGUAUACCAUUCUCAGAGAUAUGUUAAAAUGAAGGUGCAUUGACCUUUAUAUCAAGCUGUCCUAUUAAUGGGGUUCCAACUACCAACUGUCUGCUCACCCUUGCAUCAGCUUUAUAUUGUAUGUUCAUUCUCAUUUAUACUGUACAUAAUGUUUUAAGUGAAUGAGUGCUCUGUCCUUGUGAUGUCAGCACUGGGCUCUGAAUUGUGAGUGACAAAUGUGCCCCACUGUGACUUGACAUACAGUGGGACUGAGGGACAGGUCGUCUGCUUAGGGCUGGGGGAGAAAUAUCUAGAAAUGUUAUGACUGUUUUCCCUUGUAGCUUGCAGAUAUCUCAUCCGACCUGUACAUCAUUCUCGGGCACAUGCUGAGAUGAAGGCGCAGUGACAUUUAUGUCAAACUGACCUGUUGAUUGGUUGGACAACUUCUAAUUUGAUGGAAUUCAAUCGCAUGCACUUUAUACCAAGGCGCAGUGACAUUUAUGUCAAACUGACCUGUUGAUUGGUUGGACAACUUCUAAUUUGAUGGAACUCAAUCGCAUGCACUUUAUACCAAGAUUUGGCGUGAGGCUUCAGUGUGAUGAAAGGAUCAUAACGUUAAUAUAAUAAACAUUCUUCUAGAAAUAAA